CAUGUUUAAUGCGAGCUGAAGGACUAUUUUCUACAGUGAAGAGUCAGAGCCCACAGAUUUCAUCCAGAAAGAAACAGUACAGAGGAAUCCUGCUGAAGACCAACCUCCCAGCUCAGGCAGCUUCAGGAAAAAGGAAUUUUCCUCAGGUCUCAGAGAUGCCUCUAUCCUGAUUAAGAAAUUCUUUGGUAUUUCCAGCCCAACCAAUUCAUUUCUGCUCAACUUUCUGUGGUCAUGCAUCUAUUUCAUACCAACUAUCAGAGAUCUUCCUGGACAUUGACACUAAGGGUCCAACAAUAAAAAAAAGUACAAAACAAAA